GGGCCCGUAGCUCAGUUGGUAGAGCGCUUCGCUGGCAGCGAAGAGGUCGUCAGUUCGAGACUGAUCGGGUCCACCA
rnacentral:tRNA from 1 species